GGCAGAAUAAUGGUCCAUAAAUGGUCUACAUCCUUAUUCCUGGGACUUGUGACUAUAUUGUGUUAUACAGCAAAGGGAAAUUAAGGUUUCAGGUGGAAGUAACAUUGCAAAUCAUUUGACCUUCAACUAGUAGAGUAUGCUGGGUGAUCCAGGUGAGUCAAAUAUUCUGAGUUAUCCAGGUGAGCCCAAUGUAAUCACAGAGUACUUAAAUAUGGAAAAGGGAAGCAGAGAAGUCAGUGUCAAAGUGAUGAAGCAUGAGAGCAGACUGACCAGGGCUUACUGUGGACAAUGGAAGAAGGAAGCCGUCUCCAAAAAAUAGUGGCAGCCUCUAGAAUGAAACUUCGCCCUGGUACCGCUUUGCUUUUAGCCCCGUGAGACCUGUUGCGGCCUUCUCACCUCCAAAACGUGAGCCAGAAGAGUUCUCUCAUGGGUGAGGUCUUCAAACAGACACCAGAGCACUUGCCCCAUGACUUUUCCGAUGGAAGUCGUCUGGAUCCUGAGCUAAAAUAAAAAUACGCCCGAAAUUUGGUGCCCAUUAAGGGAUAACAGCAGAGUGAGGUUACCAGAUAG